rnacentral:rRNA from 1 species
UACGUAGGGUGCGAGCGUUAAUCGGAAUUACUGGGCGUAAAGCGUGCGCAGGCGGUUCGCCAAGUCAGGUGUGAAAUCCCCGGGCUCAACCUGGGAAUUGCGCUUGAAACUAGCGAGCUUGAGUGUGGCAGAGGGGGGUGGAAUUCCACGUGUAGCAGUGAAAUGCGUAGAUAUGUGGAGGAACACCAAUGGCGAAGGCAGCCCCCUGGGAUAACACUGACGCUCAUGUACGAAAGCGUGGGUAGCAAACAGG